GCUCCUAAAGGAUAACAGCUUUUCCGUUGGUCUUAGGAACCAAAACCCCUUGGUGCAAAUCCAAGUAGUAGCU
rnacentral:tRNA from 1 species